GAUGAAGAACGUAGCGAAAUGCGAUAAGUAAUGUGAAUUGCAGAAUUCAGUGAAUCAUCGAAUCUUUGAACGCACAUUGCGCCCGCCAGUAUUCUGGCGGGCAUGCCUGUUCGAGCGUCAUUACAACCCUCAGGCCCCCGGGCCUGGCGUUGGGGAUCGGCGGAGCCCCCCGUGGGCACACGCCGUCCCCCAAAUACAGUGGCGGUCCCGCCGCAGCUUCCAUCGCGUAGUAGCUAACACCUCGCGACUGGAGAGCGGCGCGGCCACGCCGUAAAACACCCAACUCUUCUGAAGUUGACCUCGAAUCAGUUAGGAAUACCCGCUGAACUUAAGCAUAUCAAUAAGCGGAGGA
rnacentral:misc_RNA from 1 species